AACAGGUCUGGGACCAGGCUAACUGGAAAGAACAAACAGGUCUGGGACCAGGCUAACUGGCAACAACAAACAGGUCUGGGACCAGGCUAACUGGAAAGAACAAACAGGUCUGGGACCAGGCUAACUGGCUACAAACAGAUCUGUGAUCAGGCUAACUGGCUACAAACAGAUCUGUGAUCAGGCUAACUGGCUACAAACAGAUCUGUGAUCAGGCUAACUGGCAAGAGAAAACAGAUCUGGGACCAGGCUAACUGGCGAGAACAAACAGGUCUGGGACCAGGCUAACUGGCAAGAACAAACAGGUCUGGGACCAGGCUAACUGGCUACAAACAGAUCUGGGACCAGGCUAACUGGCAAGAGAAAACAGGUCUGGGACCAGGCUGAUUUUUUUUUUCUCGCUCCAGUCUAAGUCUGAGAGCAUCUUCCUUUGUAUUCCCUCCUUUCUUUUCAUUUAUUUCUAAGAAGAUUCUAUUAUCAAGUGAGACAUUUUUUUUUUUUAAUUUUAAUUGGUUGUAGUUGUUCUUCAAUGUCCCGCCCACUGCAGUCUCAUUUUGAUUUGAUUGGUUGUAGUUGUUCUUCAAUGUCCCGCCCACUGCAGUCUCAUUUUGAUUUGAUUGGUUGUAUUACGACAGAGAUGUGGUUAUCCCACCUAGCUUAUCGUAACAUGAAUGCACUAACUUGUAAAUCGCUCUGGAUAAGAAUAUCAUGAUGACGUUGACAAAUGAAAUGCUAUUUCUGGGACUUCUUUCUCUACUGCGAUAUUAAACAUGCAACUUGUCUGAGUGAAUGCAAUGUGUAUACAAUACUAAGUUAUACCAGAUCAAGAAAAAAACAUUAUUUUAGAAACUUACAAAAAAAAAAAAAAAAAAAAUUGUGCGAAAUAUGACGAUAAAAUUAUAAUGACACAUUUAUUUGUAUUUAUUAAAUUUUUGUUCUCUUUUUAAUAAAUUAAUGUCGUUUUUUUUAUUUUUUUAUUUAACUAGGCAAGUCAGUUAAGAAUAAAUUGUUAUUUACAAUGACGGCCUACACCGGCCAAAACCGUAACCCGGACGACGCUGGACCAAUUGUGCACCGCCCUAUGGGACUCCCAAUCACGGCCGUUUAGUUAAGGAUAAAUGGGAUGUUAUAAACUAGGUGUGGCCAUUUUGAAUGAAUGGUUGAGAUCUCCUGUACGUUUAGUGGAAGCACGUAGAAGUUAGUAGUUUUAUGUUUUAGCAUGGUCAUCUACUGUGUCUGAAAGAGAGAAUGAAGGUCAUUUAUCAGAUGUGCUGUUGUAAAAAAAUAAAUGUUUGAUGCUUA